UACGUAGGGGGCUAGCGUUGUCCGGAAUCAUUGGGCGUAAAGAGCGUGUAGGCGGCCCGGUAAGUCCGCUGUGAAAGUCGGGGGCUCAACCCUCGGAUGCCGGUGGAUACUGUCGGGCUCGAGUACGGAAGAGGCGAGUGGAAUUCCUGGUGUAGCGGUGAAAUGCGCAGAUAUCAGGAGGAACACCCAUUGCGAAGGCAGCUCGCUGGGACGUUACUGACGCUGAGACGCGAAAGCGUGGGGAGCAAACAGG
rnacentral:rRNA from 1 species